CAAGUCGAGGGGCAGCAUAAUGGAUAGCAAUAUCUAUGGUGGCGACCGGCGCACGGGUGCGUAACGCGUAUGCAACCUACCUUUAACAGGGGGAUAACACUGAGAAAUUGGUACUAAUACCCCAUAAUAUCAUAGAAGGCAUCUUUUAUGGUUGAAAAUUCCGAUGGUUAGAGAUGGGCAUGCGUUGUAUUAGCUAGUUGGUGGGGUAACGGCUCACCAAGGCGACGAUACAUAGGGGGACUGAGAGGUUAACCCCCCACACUGGUACUGAGACACGGACCAGACUCCUACGGGAGGCAGCAGUGAGGAAUAUUGGUCAAUGGACGCAAGUCUGAACCAGCCAUGCCGCGUGCAGGAUGACGGCUCUAUGAGUUGUAAACUGCUUUUGUACGAGGGUAAACGCAGAUACGUGUAUCUGUCUGAAAGUAUCGUACGAAUAAGGAUCGGCUAACUCCGUGCCAGCAGCCGCGGUAAUACGGAGGAUUCAAGCGUUAUCCGGAUUUAUUGGGUUUAAAGGGUGCGUAGGCGGUUUGAUAAGUUAGAGGUGAAAUUUCGGGGCCCAACCCUGAACGUGCCUCUAAUACUGUUGAGCUAGAGAGUAGUUGCGGUAGGCGGAAUGUAUGG
rnacentral:rRNA from 1 species